ensembl:lncRNA
CUUGAACUCACAGAGAUCUGCCUACUUCGACUUCCCAAGUGCUGAGAUUAAAGGCAGGUGCCACCAGGCCCAGCACUAAAUUCAAGUUUUAAAACAAGGAAUUAAUGUAUGAGUGCUCUGUCUGCCAUGUAUCCCUUGGAGGCCAGAAGAGGGAAUCAGAUCCCAUUACAGAUGAUUGUGAACCACCAUGCGGUUGCUGGGAAUUGAACUCUGGCAUGUGGGACCCAUCUCUCCAGCUUUUUUUGGAGUGGGAUGGGGCAGGAGGGGGGAUAUUUUUCGAGGCGGGUUUCUCUGUGGCUUUGGAGGCUGUCCUGGAACUCGCUCUUGUAGACCAUCUGCCUGCCUCUGCCUCCCUAGCGCUUGAAUUAAAGGCGUGCCCAUCACCGCCCGGCCUCUCCAGCUUUUUAAAUUUAUUUUAUGGUUGUUUUGUGUGCAUGGCUAGUACCUGCGGAAGUCUAAAGAGGGCACUGGAUUCCCCUGCAACUGGAGUCACAGACAGUUGCGAGCUGUUACAUAGGUAUUGGGAAUUGAACCUGGGUCCUCUGCAAGAGCAGUUAGUGCUCUUAACCUCUGAGCCAUCUCCCCAGCUUCCCUCCCCACAUCUAAUUUUAACAGAGACAUAUGUCCACUCUGUAACUGUCUAAUUUUGUGCCUGUUGUUACUGACUUUGGGGAGCGUGAAGCAGUACACGUGAGGCCGUGCAGGCGCAGUCCCGGCUCUGUGACCCCCAGAACAGAACAAGUGGCCACUUAAAAGCAAUAGGCUUUCUUGCAAGAGGGUUGAAUUGUUGGGAAAGUCUAAAAUAAUUUAGAUUUAAUUGUAAGAGUUGUAUCUGAGUUUUCUAUUUAUAAUCACCAUGGAUUAUUUCAGUAAUAAAAUUGAAAGAACCAGUAUGGUGGCACUACAUUUACUCUUGGAUACAUCUUACAUUAACUUAGCACAUUUGAGAGAGGACUCUGGGCAUUUGUAGAUGCAUGGCUUCUACCUUUACUGUCUACUUCAAAGCAGACACCUUUCCUCUCGUGGAUAAUGACCCGAUGUUUAUUAUUCCAGAGACAAUUAAACUAGAGACCCAUUCAAUGUAAAUGAUGCAUUGUAGACUGUGGGGAAAGUGGUAUUUUCUUGGACUUUAUCAUAACUGAAAUAUUUCAGAUAUUAAAAUGUAAAAUUCAGAUGUGUACACGAGUCUUCAAUGCUUCCUUGGUUCAGUGUCCUAUUACCCUGCUUUCUGGGUCUGGGAACCAACACCAUACAAGAAGUCACAAAAUUUGCAUUUCCUACUAUCCAGCCUUUGCCUGUUUCUGCUUUCACCUGAAGGGUUUAUUCUAGGAGCUGUCUAGUUGUCCCUUCUGCUUUCUAGUCUUCAUAGCCCUACAAUCUGGGGUCUUGGACUAGAUGGGGGUGUGUAUUGGGAAGAGGGUGAGAUCUAGCUCCCACCCUUCAUUGUGCACAUCAGGUUAUGAGGACUGCUCAGCAUCUCUGGCUUGGGAGCCGCCUUCUCCUGAGCAUGGAGGUGGGACUGCUUAGUGAGGCCAGGAACUGAGCUCCAGUCUGCCUGACACAUCUCAUAAGCAGGGUUAACUCCAUCUAGACUCUAUAAUUGAGAUCUGGUCUUCAGGAGUCUUUAAAAAAGAAAAAGAAAAAAACUAUCUGUAUGAGUGUUUACAUGUAUGUAUGUUUGUGCACCAUGUUCAAGCCCGGCACCUGUUCAGGCCAGAAAAGGGCAGUGAAUGACAGUUGUGAGCUGCAGUGAGGGUGCUAGGACUCAAACCCAGGUCCUCUAGAAGAGCAGCCAGUGCUCUUAGCCACAGAGCCAGCGCUCCAGCCCCAACGGAUCUUUUCUGCUAGCCAGGUAUUCUGCCAGAUAUUGUGCUAUUAAUUUUCAAAUCCCAGUCUUCCCAGAUGUGC